AAAGACAAGAGAAAAAAA
rnacentral:sRNA from 1 species